ensembl:lncRNA
CUACAGCCAGGUUCGUCCCUUUUCACUCACUGCUACACUGAGGUAGCCAUGUCUUUGCCAGGCAGAAGGCGCAUGUGUUCCUGAACGGCGUCGGUCAACUAUAGGGAUUCACCUGUAGGUAUCCUUACUCAGAGGGGGGUACAGAGAACAAACGUGGACUGUGUUCUUCUAAGGAGAGAACUCUGAGUGAUUUGGUCAGGGGACAUGUGGGUUAGUGAGAACGGCAGAGGGCCUGAGUUCUGCUUGGGGAACCGACUGGACAGAAGGCAGCGGAACCCUCCACUCAGGAAUCUCCACCGGCCCAGAUGUCCCAUCAACGCCGCCAGCUGGCCGCGUGGCUCUGGCUCAGUCCUCCGCCAGGAGAAGGCACCUUGUUAUCUGUCCUUUGUCAGUAAGGCCAUCCUGUGGGACCGGGCAUUCAACCAGUGGACAGACCAUACUGCCCCUGAUGGACGUCCCUCCCUGUGUCCUCGUUUCCUGGCCCACAUGAAGGCCUGUCCUGCAGACCUUAGACCCCGAUGUUUCCUAUCCAGCAAGCCCAGGCCACGACCUCCUCAGCAGGGACAGACUGAAGUAAGACAAUCCUUGAGUGCACCGAAGAUGCAUGCAUAUACAGUGUCCAGGAGCAGACCGCAGUACCCCAACACCACCAGGAGGAGGUGCUCCGCUGUUGUUGUUCCCUGUGUUCCAACACCAGUUUCACCCUGUCCCAGCAGAGCCUCCCCUGAGCUCCGUGUCACUGAAUCUAGGCCACCAAGUAUCAAUCCCCACCCUGAUUCGGCCCCACCUCAGAUCCAUCAUCCGGAGGGGGGGACGGAUACCAAGGAUGAGGCACUAGAGAGGGGGGAAGUCCUCUUGGCUACUUCAGUGGCCUUCUGCCCUCCAGGGCCAGACUUAGACCUCAGUUGUGGGCCUGAAGACACUGGUCCCUUGGCCUCUCCGGUACCUAGUUUCUCAGAGGGUUCGCUCUCAGACUUCACUCGUCCCCCAUCCAGCCAGUUCAGCCGGAGCACUGACCUGAGUAGUGGACGAAGCAGUGUCCUAUCUGAGGAUCUGAGUGGCCUGAACUCUCCACUCUCCCGGCUCUGCUCCCCUUCCAUGUCCCUGUCUGCUCUGGCCUCCUGCACCCCACAGGACUCCCCAACACCCCAACCCCUAAACCCAACCCUUCACCCACCUCUCCACCGCCCUGUCUCGGACCAGCUACAGCGCCGCUCAUCUGACUGGACUACCCCGGAGCCCCAGUCGGGCUAUGUCCUUUCACGUUACCCAGAACCAUCCCUGGACCCCAACCGGGACUGUGCUGCCCCAUCUUUUCCCUCAGAGACCUGGCGGUCCAGUCCUAGCCCGCAAUGCGGAAUAACCCUCAGGCCUGGGUCAGGCCUGGUCUCAGGUUCCGCCUCACCUUCUACGACGACUGAGAGGAAAGAAUGGACGUCAAGCCGCUGGUCUGUCCUUCCCCCGAUCUCUCCAGCAAGAGAUGGCAGUGACACAGUGGCUUCUCAAUCGCGCUGUUCUCAGGUCAGCUCAAGCCAGUCCCGUGUGUUUGAUGAACUGGAGGCCGUCGCCCCCCGGACAUCCUUCUGUCCGUCCCUGGACCACCCUCUCAGCUCAGCAGACUGCAGCCCACCUGGCACAGAUAUGUCCCCUGGCCUUGCUGCUCUGACAGUAGGUUGUGACAUGGGGGAGCUGGGCUCCCUUUCCCGGGUGCAGCUCCUGCUCUUGGACCGACCGGAACCCAUGAACCCGCGCUUUCUCUCUGGUCAACACCAGCACUCACUGGGAAAGGAUGUAACAAGAGGCCACACUGCCAAGCUCAGCGCCAGCAGACCCGGACCAUGUGCCACAGGCGUCCUACAGCCCGUCACAGCUGCCAGCUGUGGAAACGGCAGUGCUUCGGAGAGGUGUGCUGCCACAGGCGAAGUCCGUGGAGAGCGUGAACUCACGAUGCCAGGAGACCCGGAGGAUGGCCCCAGGUCUCCGUGGUCGUGGACCGGUGACUCCGGUCCAUCCGACAUCAUCUCCAGGUCUCCCUGCUCACCCUGCCAGUACAGCUGUGAUGGGGAGGAGUCGGACAGCCAAACAAGCCAGGCCUCUACUACCCUGAAUGACAGAAACUCAGGCCCCGGCCCUGACCAGGAAGCCUCAGAGAGGGAGGAGCCUGGUUGCACUCUCCGAGGGGAGCGUGUCGGAACUUCCGCGGGUGGGAGGAGGAGACCUGGGAGGACGGAGCGCAGAAUGAGGCAGAAGGAGCGAAUAAGGGAAGAGAGAAAAACAAAGGUGCUGAACAUCUACUCCAAGCUCCAGGACAGAGGUGCCCUCCAGCCGAGCCACAACCGGGGGCGCUCCAAGUUCGAGGACUUCAACUUCUUGGCAAAGUAUUGCAUUUUCAGCCAGGAGAAACUGACAGAAUACAAAAGGGCUUUUGAAGCGGUGGACAGUGACAGAGAUGGUUACAUCUCCUGCUUGCAAGUGCUGUUGGGACUGAAGAAGAUCAUCCCUUCAGAACUGCUGUCUGAUGAGGAAGAGAUCUACGUCUACAGAGUGAUGAUGAAAAUGCGCGCGCACACACGCAGUCAUGCACAUAACCCUUUCACUACCCUCUCACCCCUGACCGCUGUGUUGUUCCUCAGAUACUCGAAAUGGUGGAUUUCAGGGUGACAGAUGGACUUACAGACCUGCGGCUCUUUGCGGUGAUUGCCAGUCUGGCACAGAAAAUAGCCACCAUGGAUGUGUUCAUGCGUUCCCUUAUAAGCAAAAUGGACUUUCGUUCUUUGGAGUUGAAGCUUUACAAGGCAAAGCAGCUGUUCCUGUUCCUGCUGGAGGGGCAGUCAGGAGGCUCUGUAGCCCAGCAAGGCUGUAUCAGCGCAGAGCAGCUCCUGGUGGAGCUGAAGGCCGGGGGCGUCCGACCGGAACAAGAGGAAGCCAUCAAACAGGAGCUCCAACACGUCGGCUCCCUGGACCUGCUGGACUUCCUGGCGUACCUGCCCCUCUUCCUCCUCAUCCACAACUCGGUCAUCACCAACCCACUGGAUGACUCCAGCAACCUGUGAUGUCAUCCUUUACCCAGGGUGGACUCAGUUCUAUUGUAUCCUGCCUCUACACGGUGGUUACAAAGUUACACGCUCACUUGCUGAAGAUCGUCCUCCUUUUUUUUUCCCCCUUCUUAUUUUAGUAGUUGGGAACACUUUUAAUGUUGUUGGGUUUUUUUUGUGUGUCGUCUGAGGCGUUUCUUCAAAAGGGCUUUGGAAACUCCCUUUGGAAUAUGUAUUUAGAAAUGACCUACCCCUGUGCUUUGGGCUACAGAAGGUGGACAUUUAGGCUUGAGAAUGGUGCUGUCUAUGGUACUGAAAUAUGUGGGGCUUUUCAAUUGCAGUUCAUGUUGAACAAGUAAUUCACUGAAUACGGCCAUAACAGGUUUAGACUCUAAUAAGGAUGUGUUGCUAAUUGUCUGCCAAAUGUUAAAAUGCGGCCACAAAUUGAAAAUCAUGCAAAACCUGCUGUUGAUAUGAGCGUCUGAUUUAUGCCAGACCCUUGCACUGUUUAUUCCGACGGGAAUAUGAUGGCUCACAACUUCAGCAUCUUGAUGAUGUGCCAUUAUCAAAAUAAAAAAGGGCAAGUGUAGUCUAACCUAAAUCUCCUAUGUGUUUUCAAUCUCUUAGCUUAAGGUGAGAGCGUCCGGAAAGAAAUUGCUGAUUAGAUAUGGCAGUGUGCUCUUUAUUUUCCAUCACGCUUCACAGAGUCGGUGAGGAAAGCAUUAAUGCACUCUGACAGGCGGUUACGGAAUUGUUCGGACCAUUCAUUGCUUUUUUCGGGUGGCUGUUUCAUACAAAUGCUAUAAUGCCUAAUAAGGGUACCAAAGAGCGCCGCAAAUAUUGCCGGUUUUUUCUUCUUCUUGCAAAUAGCAGAUGUUGUUGCUGGUGUAGUUUCAGUGCCUUAACAACACAGUUGACUUACUCUAACAUUUAAAAUCUCUACACAAGUACAAUUUACAAAUGUUCAAAUGGAUCAUCAAAAUGGCAGUCUACCCAUAUAUCAGUCCAAGCAAGAUAGUAAAAAUCUAAAUCUACUUAACAAGGCAGAAAUAAAUGGAAAGGGACUAGCAUUCAGUACCAGUGUCCACAAUAAACGUGAGACAGUAGCGUGGAGCGAAUGGGUGCAUGCUGGUGGUAGAUUAUGCAUGUGUACAUUGAGUGUGGGUGAUUGAGUUAUUGAGAGAGAGGGUGUGUUAGUUGAGUGUGUGUGAUUGUGAAUGCGAUGACUGCGUGUAAAUGAGCUGGUUGUGUAUGUGGCCCUAGGGUGCAGGUUAGAGUGCAGGGCGGAAAGGUACAAUCCCAUUUCCAAAAGAGUUGGGACGCUGCGUAAAAUGUAAAUAACAACAAAAUGCAAUGAUGUGCAAAUCAUUUCACCCCUAUAUUUAAUAGAAAAGAGUACAAAGACAACAUAUCAAAUGUUGAAACUGAGACAUUUUAUUGUUUCUUGAAAAAUAUAUGCCCACUUUUAAAAAGCUGGGACAGAGGCAACAAAACACUAGAAAAGUUGUGUAAUGCUAAAACUAAACCUGGUGGAAUAUCACACAACUAAUUAAGUUAUUUGGCAACAGGUCAGUAACAUGAUUGACUAUUAAAAGAUCAUUCCAGAGAGGAUGGGUCUGUCAGAAGUGAGGGGUUCACCACUCGGAAAGACUGCGCAGGCAAAUAGUGCAACAAUUAAAAAAUAACCUUUCUCAACGUAGCAUUGCAAAGAGUUUGGGGAUCUCAUCACCUACGGUACAUAAUAAUAUAAAAAGAUUCAGACAACCUGGAGAAAUCUUUGUCUGCAAGGGACAAGGCCAAAAACCAAUUUUGGAUGGUCAUGAUCUUCAGGCCCUCAGGCUGCACUGCAUUAAAAACAGACACAAUUCUGUAGUGGAAAUCACUGCAUGGGCUCAGGAACACUUACAAAAUCCAUUGUGUGUGAACACAGUAUGUCGCUGCAUCCACAAAUGCAAGUUAAAACUUCACCAUGCAAAGAAGAAACCAUACAUAAACAACUUCCAGAACCAUUGUUGCUUUCUCUGGGCCCAAACUCAUUUAAGAUGGACUGAGGCAAAGUGGAAAACUCUCCUGUGGUCUGAUGAAUCCAAAUUUGAAAUUACAUUUUUGAAUCAUGGAUGCCGGAAUCAUGGAUGCCUCUGGACUAAAGAGAGGGACCACCCAGCUUAUCAUCAGUGCACAGUUCAAAGCCAGCAACUGUGAUUCUAUGGGGGUGCAUGUGGCAUGGGUGAGUUGCAAUUAUGUGAAGGCACCAUUAAUGCUGAACAAUGUAUGCAGGUUUUGGAGCAACAUAUGCUACCACCCAGAUGAUGUCUUUUUCAGAGGAGGCUUUGCUUAUUUCAGCAAGACAAUGCUAAACCACAUUCUGCACAUAUUACAACAGCAUGGCUCCAUAGUAAAAGGGUCUGGGUGCUAAACUGGCCUGUCUGCAGUCCAGACCCGUCACCCAUUGAAAACAUUUGGCACAUUAUGAAACGAAGAAUAUGACAAAGGAGACCCCGAACUGUUGAGCAGCUGAAAUCCCAUAUCAAGCAAGAAUGGUAAUACAUUGCACUUUUCAAAACUACUGCAAUUUUUCUCCUCAGUUCCCAAACGCUUGCUGAGUAUUGUUAAAAGAGCUGAUGCAACACAGUGGUAAACCUGUUCUGUCCCAACUUUUUUUGAAACAUGUUGCUGGCAUCAAAUUCAAAACAAUAACAUUUCUGUUUAAACAUUUCAUAUGUUUUCUUUGUACUAUUUUCAAUUAAAUAUAGGGAUAAAUGGUUUACACAUCAUUGAAUUUUUUUGCUGCAUUUUAUGCAGCAUCCCAACUGACCAAACUUAACAUUUCUUAUUCUUCUUUCCAUUAAAUGUCAAACAGUAAAAUGUAAGCAAACUUUUAAACUGAAAUUUUUUCUCUAUGGCAAAAUGCAUGUGGCUAUCCAAACCCAGAGCCACUAGGGUACAUCCCAAAUGUUUUAUUUUUGUGCGCCCCACCUUUGGCCUUGAGGCUUUAUUUUUCAACAAGCUCUACUAAAAUGAAUGUAGGCCUACAGAAGCCCUGCCCUGGAAGAUAUUUUUGUGAUUGUAUUUAACCGAAUAAAUCGUUAAUGUAACAUGAGCUAUGCAGUUCAUUUCUGUCAUGGAAUGCUUUAUAGAAUUGUGGUAAAAUCACAGGUUAAUAAGUG